GAUGAACGCUGGCGGCGUGCUUAACACAUGCAAGUCGAACGGAAAAGGCGGGCUUUGCUCUGGUGCCUGAGUGGCGAACGGGUGAAUAACACGUGAGUAAUCUGCCCCUGACUCUGGGAUAACCUCUGGAAACGGCGUCUAAUACUGGAUACGAGCUGCGGAGGCAUGUUGAGCGUCUGAAAAGAACGGCGGUCAGGGAUGUGCUCGCGGCUUAUCAGCUUGUUGGUGGGGUACCGGCUUACCAAGGCGUCGACGGGUAGCCGGCCUGAGAGGGUGACCGGCCACAUUGGGACUGAGACACGGCCCAGACUCCUACGGGAGGCAGCAGUGGGGAAUAUUGCACAAUGGGCGAAAGCCUGAUGCAGCAACGCCGCGUGAGGGAUGACGGCCUUCGGGUUGUAAACCGCUUUUAGCUGGGAAGAAGCGAGAGUGACGGUAACGGCAGAAGAAGCACCGGCUAACUACGUG
rnacentral:rRNA from 1 species